GGCGCGUUAGCAAAGUGGUUAUGCAGAGGCCUGCAAAGCCUUAGACGCCGGUUCGAUUCCGGCACGCGCCU
rfam:Methylophilales bacterium HTCC2181 1100893002543, whole genome shotgun sequence.